GGGCACAUGGUGUAGUUGGUUAUCACGCUCGCUUCGCAUUGAUCUCGAUGAGUUUGCGAGAGGUGUUGGGUUCAAUUCCCAAUGUGUCCA